rnacentral:lncRNA from 1 species
UGGGAACACCAUCCCAGUGGUCUUUCCCAACUUUUGGGAUGCUUUUCCCUAAAACCCCGCUCCCGUCGCUCCUCCCCAGGCCCAGCUGACCACGGAUGUGAUGCCGGACCAGAAGACGUUCACGGAUCCCAAGGCGGGAAGCAGCCGGCAGCGGGAGCUCCGGAUCCUGCUCCUCAUUCCCAUCCUGAUCCCGGCGCUGGGGCUAUAGAGGGGCGGGAAGGAGCGGCCGGUGGGACGGGGACGCUCGGACCAGUGCCACCAGUGCCACCAGUGCCACCAGUGCCACCAGUGCCCACCGCUGCCGCGCUUGUGCCGGAGACUGGAACGCUCCCAAAUCCCGGGAAUGCCGAGCUCCGGAGAGGCAGGAGGAGCCUUCACCACGCUGGGAAACUUCGGUGGUUUUCUUCCAACUUUUCAUUUUUCCCGGUUUUUUUUGGGGGGGUUUUUUUUUUUUUUUGGUCUUUUCUGGGAGCAGCUCCUCCGAAAACUCCUUGGAACAGGCCUAGAAUGGGGGUCUGGAGCUGCCAGCAGUGCCGAGGAGGGGAAAAACAUCGGAGAAAAGCUUUGGGAAGGUGAAUUGCAGGAUUCUUUGCUCUGGGGUGGCCACAGGGACAGCGAGGAUUCCGCACGGGAACAUCCCGGAGGACGAAGGCGCCGUCGGGAGCCACCUGGAUGGAACUCCCGCAGCUCUUCCCGUUGGUUUUUGGGGGAUUUUGGUUGGGAUUUUUCCUCGGAGAGUUUCCGAGUGGAAGAGAAAAGAAACUGGUGUGAAACGUGUGAGGCUGUGCUGAUGUUUUCAAUCAUUCCAGGGGAAGAGGUUCCAUUUUCCUUUUUUUUCUUUUUGGAAUUUGGGUUGGGAGUGGAUUUUGACCUAUUCAGGGUCAGAAUUCCCUAUUUUCCCUCUCCACUUUAUUUCCUAUAUACAUAUAACAUAUGGAUAUUCCCAUAUACACAACCUUACCCAUCCUGUGGCUUUUUAAUUCCCAUUUUCCCCUUUAUUUUCCCUCUAUUUUUUUAUUUUAAAUUUUUUUUCCUAAUUCCUCCAAUUCCCACAACAACUUCCAAAUGUAUUCUUGGAAAAUUUAUUUUUUUUAACGAUGUCUAUAAUGGAAAAAAAAAAAAGAAAGAAAAACCAAAAUAAAC